GAUGAACGCUGGCGGCGUGCCUAAUACAUGCAAGUCGAGCGAACAGACGAGGAGCUUGCUCCUCUGACGUUAGCGGCGGACGGGUGAGUAACACGUGGAUAACCUACCUAUAAGACUGGGAUAACUUCGGGAAACCGGAGCUAAUACCGGAUAACAUGUUGAACCGCAUGGUUCAACAGUGAAAGACGGUUUUGCUGUCACUUAUAGAUGGAUCCGCGUCGCAUUAGCUAGUUGGUAAGGUAACGGCUUACCAAGGCAACGAUGCGUAGCCGACCUGAGAGGGUGAUCGGCCACACUGGAACUGAGACACGGUCCAGACUCCUACGGGAGGCAGCAGUAGGGAAUCUUCCGCAAUGGGCGAAAGCCUGACGGAGCAACGCCGCGUGAGUGAAGAAGGUCUUCGGAUCGUAAAACUCUGUUAUUAGGGAAGAACAAAUGUGUAAGUAACUAUGCACGUCUUGACGGUUCCUAAUCAGAAAGCCACGGCUAACUACGUG
rnacentral:rRNA from 1 species